AUUGAACGCUGGCGGCAGGCCUAACACAUGCAAGUCGAGCGGUAGAGAGAAGCUUGCUUCUCUUGAGAGCGGCGGACGGGUGAGUAAUGCCUAGGAAUCUGCCUAGUGGUGGGGGAUAACGUUCGGAAACGGACGCUAAUACCGCAUACGUCCUACGGGAGAAAGCGGGGGACCUUCGGGCCUCGCGCCAUUAGAUGAGCCUAGGUCGGAUUAGCUAGUUGGUGAGGUAAUGGCUCACCAAGGCUACGAUCCGUAACUGGUCUGAGAGGAUGAUCAGUCACACUGGAACUGAGACACGGUCCAGACUCCUACGGGAGGCAGCAGUGGGGAAUAUUGGACAAUGGGCGAAAGCCUGAUCCAGCCAUGCCGCGUGUGUGAAGAAGGUCUUCGGAUUGUAAAGCACUUUAAGUGGGAGGAAGGGUAGU
rnacentral:rRNA from 1 species